GUGACAGCAGCCGCGGUAAUACGAAGGUGGCUAGCGUUGUUCGGAAUCACUGGGCUUAAAGCGCACGUAGGCGGAGACGAAAGUGUCUUGUGAAAUCCCCCGGCUCAACCGGGGAAUUGUUGGGCAAACUACGUUUCUUGAGGCAAGCAGGGGUGUGUGGAACUCUUGGUGGAGCGGUGGAAUGCGUAGAUAUCAAGAGGAACGCCGAAGGUGAAGACAGCACACUGGGCUUGUCUUGACGCUGAGGUGCGAAAGCGUGGGGAGCGAACGGGAUUAGAUACCCGUGUAGUCC
rnacentral:rRNA from 1 species